rnacentral:rRNA from 1 species
GACGAACGCUGGCGGCGUGCUUAACACAUGCAAGUCGAACGGUAAGGCCCUUCGGGGUACACGAGUGGCGAACGGGUGAGUAACACGUGGGUGAUCUGCCCUGCACUUCGGGAUAAGCCUGGGAAACUGGGUCUAAUACCGGAUAGGACCCUGGGAUGCAUGUCCUGGGGUGGGAAGCUUUUGCGGUGUGGGAUGGGCCCGCGGCCUAUCAGCUUGUUGGUGGGGUGAUGGUCUACCAAGGCGACGACGGGUAGCCGGCCUGAGAGGGUGACCGGCCACACUGGGACUGGGAUACGGCCCAGACUCCUACGGGAGGCAGCAGUGGGGAAUAUUGCACAAUGGGCGCAAGCCUGAUGCAGCGACGCCGCGUGAGGGAUGACGGCCUUCGGGUUGUAAACCUCUUUCAGCACCGACGAAGCGCAAGUGACGGUAGGUGCAGAAGAAGGACCGGCCAACUACGUGCCAGCCGCCGCGGUAA